CUAAUCUUGUAAAUUGGUAAUUUUUGUUCAUUUAUGCUAAAUUAUUUUUUUUUCCCAAUUCUAGCCUAAAAUUUUAUUUUAUUAGUAUUAUCUUCGAAUAAUACCAUAAAUAUUAUAAUUUUAUCCUCUCUUGCAGUAUGAGAUAAAUAUUUAAUUAACAUAUUUUUAAUAUAUACUUAUCAUAUUUUAUGAUAAUGUAACAAGUGUAUUUAAACGACUUAAUUAACUUUUAAGUAAUCAAGAGUAAUAUUUUAUUAUUAUUUUACUACCUAUUUCUAGAUUGUUUAAUUUUCUUUUUUCAUGUAUGCUAUAAAUACUAGAAAUGCCACAAACAUAUGAUAACUAUAUGGUAUUUGACCUAUUCGGCCACUUUUGCUGAAUAUUCAGUAUUCGGCCAAUACCACUAUUCAAAUCAUUUUUAUCAAAUACUUGUGUUAUUUGUAUUAUCUAGGUCAAUUGAAUAACAUUCUAUGCUUUACUUGUACUCAAAACCACCACGCACUUUACAGUCCAGGUAGAGAAACCCUCGACGCAUCGGCAAUUUUUUUUUUUAGAGACCCGAACAUGUGCACUCAACUUGUCCUUAAACUUUUGCGUCUAUUGUCUCAAUUUUUUAUCACCGGCCGCAUCGUCGGUCGCAACAUUCUAAGUUUUAUUAUUUCAACAUGUUUUUGUUUUAAUGAAUAUUUCCAUUAACUUAAACCCAAGUUUAAAAAAAAUCUCAGUAAUAAAUCAAAGAUCAUUAUUAAUAUAUCGGUAAAUGUUUUUUUUGUACAAUGAAUUGUAUUUAAUAUUUUAUUUCAAUUAAUUUCUUUACUGGCAACAUCAGUAAAUACUGAGUAUUUCCCUUGUUUUGUCUAUGGCGUCGCUAGAGUAUGGCGCUAGUGGCGCCCCCUAGCAUAAACCAUAGGUCAAUUUGUUAUACACAAAGCCAAACUCUUUUUGAAGUGCUAGGUUGUGAUUGUGACGUGUACAUUAUUUUUCUUUAAAAUGAGACUUACUAAGAUUGACCUUUUAAUUUGUGAGUUCCCAAUAAUUUGGGAUAGUAACGAGUUAUAUACUAUGGAGAUAAAUUUUUGGCCGAACUCGCUCGUCAGAUCUUAUUAAAACUGUGCAAAAAUGUAAAACUUUUUUUUUUAAUUCAAAUAUUUUGACUAUGAAAAUAAGAAAUUUCAAGGAUCGCCUUCGCAGAUUUAAGGUAUAACUACAAUUAUAUGUAUGUUUUGUCAAAUAUUUUAUUUUAAUAAUCUUUUAAUUAUUAUUACAAAACUUUUGUAAUGUUAAAAGAAAACAUUUCUUAUAACAGAAAAAUGAAAUCGCCAAAAGAAAAUGUUUCCGAUUUAGUAUAAAUAUAACUGAGUCCUCCCAUCACGCAGACAUCAUUGUUGAAGAACAUCAAGACCAAAUUUCAAUAAGUUUAAUUAAUUCAUCGAUAGCAUAUGAUUAAUAUUUUUUAUUUAUAAUUCAUUCAAUUAAUCAUACUUAUUUCUUUUGAAUUUUUCAGGCUCUAAUGAAUGAAUCCGGGUCGCUGGAUGAGUUGGGUGACCCUGAAUCUACCCUUUAGGUAAGUAAUACACUAUUCUCUUUACUCUCUUUUUUUUUCAGAACAUUUUUUCCUAAAAAUGUUAAUUAGGUAGGACACGUUCAGUUAUUUCAGUAUAUAUUAGUUUACCGUAAUGUUAAUUUAAACUACAUAUUUAGUUUAUAUCUAUGCUAUAAUACUAUCCUGUUGCCAUUAUGUUAUUAGUUCAUUAUAUAUAUAGGUAUGAUGGAAAAAAUUUAACUCAUUGGCCUACAAUCUAUUCUUUUUUUCUUCUGAAGUCUGUUCUGUUUGCACUAUAGAUACUGAUAAGAAAGUGUUGUUACGCCUACUUACUUGUUUUAAGUGAACUCUAUUGCCUAUAUAAUAUGAAUGAAAUUUGAUAACACAAAACAAGACGUAUUAAGGAGUACCUGCGACCCUUUUUUUUCCCCCGACCCUUUAAGUGGCCAAACGCGUCUCGCCUUGAGCUGAGCGUCAGCUAUUUUUAACACAUGUAUUAAUUUUACGGUUUUCAAAUUUUUGCUUAAAUAUGAUUUCAGAUACGUAAGGCGUUUUUGAGUAAGCUGAUAUGUAAUUAGUCCUCCUAAUUAUAUGACGACAUAUUAUAAAUGUUCCAAGUAACGAGGUAUCGAGUGCCACUGAAUGCUGUCCUGUUAUUUUAUUUUGAGCUAAACUACCACAUUCAGCAUCUCUACACUCGACCCGCGACCCCAAGAACCAGUGUUCUUCUACUCUAGACUUGGUAAUAUUAGUCCCUACAAUGCAAGUUACAUCGAUAGAGUGCAGUCAAGAGGAGAAAAAAAUUAUAUUGAUAAAUAUUAUAAUAUAUAGAUAUAAUUUAAAAAAUUUCAAGGAAAAUCCAAAUCAUAUUGUUCACAUUCCAGUUUUCUUACGGCAGCAAAAAUGUAGCCGACGAGGCUACUCUAUGUAAUAAACUAUUUAUAUAUAUAAUCCUGGUCAUUCCGGCACCAAAAAUUGUACCUUACCCCAUCUACUACUAAACUAAUUAACUAAAAUUCAACCAGGAUUAAAUAAAAUUAGGAAAAUAAAUAAAUUUGGCCAUGUGAUCGUCUAGGGUAUUUACGUUGUGAACCUUAGUACCCUUCGUCUUUUAUGUGAAAACUGAUACGAUUUGGAUUUCUCAAAACUAUCCCUAAAUAUCCUAUGAAUUUGUAAAUAUUCCUACUGUAUAUUUUUAUUAACACUAUUGUUAGACAAAUAAAAAAAAUAGUAAAUAAUAUAUAUUUUUUAGAAUUUAUCUCCUACCGGGCCCUACCGUGACCAGUUACCGUGAACAGUAGUAAGCCCUUUUUGUUUGUAAUUUAAAACUUAUAUUUUCCUUUUAAUAUAUCUCUUCGCUAACCUAGCUAGCUAAAGGAAAAUAUGUAUAUGUAACCAUUGUAACCAUAAAUAAAUAUUGCAAAGAAUAGUAAGUACAAACAUACUUUAUCUACUGUCACGCCCGGAUGAAGACGGGUCUCUAAGCUAAUUAAUACCCAUUUUAUUUUAUUUUAUUUUUAAUAGGUAUUCCUAAGCACCAUGUAAUAUUACUCUACCAACGUUUCGUAACCUAAUUUCAGACGAGAAGAAACGCCAAGAAACUCAUCUGAAUGUACUAUUAAUGUAUGGAAUACUGAAAACAAUCGUCUAUUAAAUAUGACUUUAUUUACCCUUUAAUUCCCCAGUUAUAGAAAAGCUCAAUUGUCACUAGUGAACUGCUCCGCCUGUCACUAGCUCCCUAUAACAAAAUUAUUUAGUAUGUCCUCAAAUAACUUUGUUCCCCUAUCUCACCCAAUGUAAAAAUAUAUAAACCUUCAAUCAUAUUUAAUGUACGAGCCUCAGUAACCCAUCCAUAUGCUACUGAAGAUAGAUUUUAAUUUAUUUUGUAAUUAAAACAGUUAAAACUCUAAUGAUUUUAGUAUUGUUUACAAUCAAACUAAAUGUGAAAGAAAAUAAAUAAACCUAACACCCAAAUAAUGACUCUACCCUAACUCUACCCCAAAUUCACCUAUUCUAAUGUGUGUAAAACUAGAGGCGAACCUCUAUUUUUACAGGGAGGAGUGUGUGUGAGGGACCCUAAUUUAAGCUCUAAACGUUCGGCCGACAAAACCGAGGUAUAGCAAACCCUAGUGUCUGUGUGAUUGCCUCCCUCCAUCUGUGUUAGCCGAAGCCUGGGUACAGAUGAAUAAGGCGCCCUAACCAUGUAUAUAAUGUGUAUAAAUAAAUAUAUUUAACAAGACAAC